rnacentral:rRNA from 1 species
AGAGUUUGAUCCUGGCUCAGGAUGAACGCUGGCGGCGUGCUUAAUACAUGUAAGUCGAACGGACUCUGUCUUUCGGGAUAGGGUUAGUGGCAGACGGGUGCGUAACACGUAGGUGAUCUGCCCUGAAGUGGGGAAUAAUCCCGCGAAAGCGGGACUAAUACCGCAUGUGCUCGGUGAUUCGGUUUGCCGAGUAAAGCCGAAAGGCGCUUCGGGAUGGGCCUGCGGCGGAUUAGGUAGUUGGUGGGGUAAUGGCCUACCAAGCCGAUGAUCCGUAGGGGGCGUGAGAGCGUGGCCCCCCACACUGGCACUGAGACACGGGCCAGACUCCUACGGGAGGCAGCAGUAAGGAAUAUUGCACAAUGGGCGAAAGCCUGAUGCAGCAACGCCGCGUGAGGGACGAAGGCCUUCGGGUCGUAAACCUCUUUUCUGUGGGAAGAGACUAGGACGGUACCUCAGGAAUAAGUCUCGGCUAACUACGUGCCAGCAGCCGCGGUAAAACGUAGGAGGCGAGCGUUAUCCGGAUUUACUGGGCGUAAAGCGCACGCAGGCGGCUUCGUUAGUCGGACGUGAAAGCUCCUGGCUUAACUGGGAGAGGCCGUUCGAUACUGCGAGGCUUGAGGUUGGGAGAGGGGUGUGGAAUUCCCGGUGUAGUGGUGGAAUGCGUAGAUAUCGGGAGGAACACCUGUGGCGAAAGCGGCACCCUGGCCCACACCUGACGCUGAGGUGCGAAAGCGUGGGUAGCAAACAGGAUUAGAUACCCUGGUAGUC